UACGUAGGGCGCAAGCGUUGUCCGGAAUUAUUGGGCGUAAAGAGCUCGUAGGUGGCUGGUCGCGUCUGCCGUGAAAGCCGCAGCUUGACUGCGGGUCUGCGGGUGGAUACGGGCCGGCUAGAGGUAGGCAGGGGCAAGUGGAAUUCCGUGGUGUAGCGGUGAAAUGCGCAGAUAUCAGGAGGAACACCGGUGGCGAAGGCGGCUUGCUGGGCCUUACCUGACGCUGAGGAGCGAAAGCGUGGGGAGCGAACAG
rnacentral:rRNA from 1 species